rnacentral:tRNA from 1 species
GGCCUGGUGGCUCAGUUGGUUAGAGCGCCGCCCUGUCACGGCGGAGGUCAUGGGUUCAAGUCCCAUCCGGGUCG